rnacentral:lncRNA from 1 species
GCACAACCUUGUACCGGUACAAGCCUGCCAGAACUCAAUCCGAGAGCUGACCAAAAUCCAAAUUUUUGGGUUUCGGUGCAAGGCUUUGUACCACACUCCUCGGGACGCGUGCCAUAAGUCGGAACACAGUCAACGACCUACCAGAAAAUCUGGAAAAGCUCAGAGCACAGCUAAUCACCCGAACCUCGCAAUUUGCAAAGGUCCAGUGUGUUACAGUCCCGCAGACGGUCUCGGUGUGCGAGUGCAGAUUCUCCUCACCUAUGAGAUUGAAAGUGAGUCGGGGUUAACCCCGGGGUGGCAACCUUCGGGUUAGCCAUGAGAUUGGAUACUAUCGAGGCAUAGUUGCACGACGCACUAUGUAGUAGCUCGUUCAUUUGGAUUAUUGAGGCAUAGUAGCAUGUGCAGAUACAUCACUAUAUAGCAGCUCAUUUCUUUAUUGUUGAGACAUAGUAGCAUGUUGUAGAUACAUCACUAUGUAGUAGCUCAUUUCUAUUGUUGUUGAAGCAUAGUAUCAUGAUUAGUAGAAUAUCAUUGCUAUGUUCAUGCAUUCCAUGAUUACAGAGGCAUAGUAGCAUGUGUAUAUUCCAUUACUAUGUAGCAGCUCGUACUUAGUAGAGCGAGAUUGAGUCGGGCGAGGAGCGGGGUAGCUCUUUGCCUAGGACCUUCGAGAUUGAGUCGGGCAAGGAGCGGGGUAGCUCUUUGUCUAGGACCUUUGAGAUUUGAGAUCUUAGGCAAGUUGGCCUAGUCGAUUGGGUUGUAACAUGAAUAGCAUAAGUGGAUUGCAUUCAUGCCAUGAUUGGACAUAGUAGACUGCAUAACUAUGUUGUAGUUGUAUUUAUUACACUGUUGAAGCAUACUAGCAUGAUAGUAGGUUAUUGCUAGAUGAUGUUCCAUGCAUUCUUUGCAUUUGAUGGCAUAGUAGAUAUAGUAGCAAUGUAUUUCUAUCUACCUUUCUAUCUAUCUAUCUGUGCCAGCUUGGACCUAGUGGGAAAACCGGCGGCGUCGGCGGCCGAACCCACUGGGAACUAUAUUUAUAUAGUUCUCACCCCGUGUGGUUUUGGGGUAUAGGUACACACGAGAGCGUACCGGCAGAGGACCGUGGUAAGGGCACAGCGCCCUAGUAGCUAGUAGCUUUCCUUAUGCAUUAGAGUGCCCUCGUGUACAUAGAGAUGUAAAUGUAUUUGGAAGUUACUUAUGUAUUUGGAAAGACAUUUUGUAUUAUGAGAAUAAUAUGUAUUCAUUUGGGAAGAUGAAAAUGUAAAUCAAUAUGAAAAUUGAGGUUGAAUGAAUGUAAUAGCUAGAUGUAUCUCUCUUUAUUUCACUUGUAUGUUACUUGUGAUUCUUGCUCUUAGAUGUAUUGCACCUGUGUGCAUCGUGUUCGAUCAUGUAUGUUAUUUAAGCAUUCCCUGGGCGCUUAACUGUACAUGAUCUGGUUGCUUAGCCUUGGGCGGACAGGAGAGGUGCUGUCCGUUCGGCGUCUGAUCGACGUGCCCGGAUCUUGCCAAAUUGGCGGGUCGCGGGGCGUGACAGAUGGUCGUGGUAUCAGAGCAAGCUAAGAGCAAGUAAAGAGAGAGUUUAGGAUGACCUAGGAGACCCUAGGACAGUAAACCGUAAGGUUAUAGGUGCGUGAGUGGAACGUGAACCUAUAACGGUGGCGGAAGUUGAAUCGAUUGGGUCAAGUUAGUAAACCUCUAAGACAGAUGUUAGAGGUGGAUUCAAGGUUCAAUUUAUUCUCACUAGAGGAUGUUCAUGUUGGAUGCAUACAACAUGAAACCGAGAGAUGAGAAUAGGCACCCUUGUAUGACUUUCGCCUGAUUUGAGUCAAGCUGAUGUUAGUUGUUACGUGUUCGACCUAGAGGGUCGAGACCAACUGUGUUGUCGCGGUUUAGGAGAUCGACAAUGGUACCGCGUAGGCGAUCUUCGUUUAGAUCGGCGCGGGACGGGACAAGUGAUGUCCCAGAACGAUUCAAGCGAGCGGAGAAUGCAAACUUCGCUAUUGGUUGGCCACGCUCGUGGGAGUGAUGAGGCCACGAGUCGGUGGAUCGGUUGGCGAUCGCACCAGUUUUGGCACGUCGAGUACGGCCGGGAUUCGCGACGGAGGUGUUUCCGUCGGGGUCGGGCAAUCCGACUUCUAGCACUCCAAAGGUUGAGGCGGUGAGGGAGCGAGCGUCGAUGGCCCUCAUGAUUUUUACGGAAUUUGAUCCGCCUACCUUUGAUGGAGAGAAUGUAGAUCCGCAGAUUGUGGAGUUGUGGAUUGAUUCCAUGGAAACUCUAAUAGAGGAUCUAUGCUUAGUGCAAACGGGAGUUCUCCCAUAUCUCCAGUUACAUCCUAAACAUAGUACGGGAUGACGACGAUAUGGCCGAUUUGUUUGUGCGGAGACUUCGGCUAAAUAUUGUCAAGGUUGUGCAUGUAAGGAAGUGAAUUCUCGAAAUUUGAGAGUUUGACUUCGUUUAAAAUCGACCAUGUGUCGAGUUGGUGCACUUCGGAAUGUCCGAAAAUGCCAAAGAGGCAAAGAGUGCAUCGUAACGGACCUCGCCUUUCCCGUCUGUUGCAUCGGCUUUGGCGAUUUCGGGCCAUUAUGAAGGAGCCCUACCUACUGUUGCUUUAGCUAGACGCGCGAUGGCACCUCGUCAGCCAGAGGUGGCCCGUCGACUACGAGUGGCUGGGUGUUUGCCACUCAAGUCGAGGAACUUGCUGCCGCUAAUGAUGUCUUGGUAGGUAUGGCUUAAUACAAGCAAGCAGGUAUUUCGGCGUAAUGCGGAAUAGAUGCAUUGCAGACAUUUCCAUGGUCAGUUGCUACUAAUUAUGCAUUAGUAUAGUAGGGACCAGUGGANUCUUGCUUCUUCUUCUUCUUCUCCAAGCCCUAGAGCAAGAGUUCUAGAGAGAGAAAGAGAGGAAAAGGGAGAGAAGGGUAAAAUGGCUGUGGGAGAGAGAGGGGUGUCCACAUAUAGUGUUGUGACAAUUGCAUUUAAGCCCCUCAACUUAUUUCCCCUUGAUCUGCCCAGACUGGGCGUUUUUCGCCUUCGGGGACCAGUCUCCCCGACCAGGGACCGGUUCCCGAACGUGGGUGUUCCAGGACUUAGCCAAAUUUUCUAGUCUUUCGGCUGUUGCACAGCGAGGGACCGGUCUGCCCCUUCAGGGACCGGUCUCCCAAGGACCGGUCUCACUACCAGGGACCGGUUGCCUCAAGACUUCCUGGCAGGCUACGCGUACGGGGACCGGUCUCUCCUUCAGGGACCGGUCCCCGAGAGCACAAAAUCUGGGACUUAGCCAGAUUUCCAGAUUACUCUCUCGGGUCCCUUUUAGCCUCACUUAUGGACUCUAAUGUGCUCAUGGUCCACUCAAACUCAUUCAUCUCCGCAGUCCGCUCAUUUCGACGGAACUCGGCACGAUUUACGAGGGAUGUGGUAUGUUACAUGGAGGAAGUAGCACCAAGGAGUAAAAGAGAAGAUCAAACCACUAAAUAUCAUGCAAAAAGGGGAUCAAAUCCAAAGAGGGGAAAACAGGAGGUCCCCUACCUUGUCUCCACUGCCUCUCAGCUCAGGGAAGGCCCUAAGGAGCGUGGGGUAUGUAUAGAGUUGCUACAAAAGCGAAUACACCCCUCAAAGCUGCAGUUCUCGCAGUCUGCCAAAGUGUAGCGGUACACGGAAAAGUGUACCGGUACAAAUCCCGCGAACUCACAAACCCGACCUUCGGGUUGGCUAAAAACCACAAAUGUACCGGUACAACUAUCAAAGUGUACUGGUACAAAAUGUGUUCCAGUACAACCAUCAAGAUUGUACCGAUACACAACCCUGCUGAAGCAAACCCGAGAGCAAACCAAACAUUCAACUUUUUGGAUUUUGGUGCACAGUUAUAAACCUCAAUUCUCGGGAUGUGAGCCAUAGGUCGGAACACUGUCUACGACCCUCCAGAAUAUCUGGAAAAACUCAGAUCACAGAUUAAACAAUCGAACCUUGCAAUUUGCAAAAAUCCAGUGUGUUACAUUCUCCCCUCCUUAAAAGGAGUUUCGUCCGCGAAACUGCGGGUCAACCACGAAACAGACCCAUCCAAAAAGGAUGGAAGAAGCGCUCCAACAGCGCAUAGAUCAGACCAUGAAGGUCUCAAGCAUGACGGAAUGCUCCUCGGCAAAACACACAAGGUCCCACGAUGCCAAGACUUGGCAUAACUCAAGUAAAGCUUCCACUGAAGUUCUUCGAACUCAAGGCUUUACCGGAAGUUCCAUCUCUAGUCCGUGCCUGAUCACCAAGUCCAUCAGUCGGUUCUCACGAAACCAAGUAUUCCCAAAAGCUGAAUUCUCGUUCUCACCUUCCUCGUUCAAGUCGAGGGUAGGCCUUGCUCUGCUUCAAUUACUCUAGUAUAUAGAAUUCCAUCCAAAUACCUGUAGGAUACCGAACUUCUAAAAUUAUGAAGUUACGGUGGGAUGUAAUAUGCGGAUUUUAAUGUAAAAAGGGAAAUAAAUAAAAAUAGUAUGAGAUACUAUUUUUAUUAGAUUUAGAGAAGUGAAAUAUAAGUUUGGAAUGACCCGUGUUGAAAUCAGAGCGAAAACAGAAGAUUUAGAUUUUCUGUGAGAAACGGGGCAGAUAAAUUAGCAGAAAAUGCACAGUCUCAGAAAAUUAUGAAAACUAGCGGGGAUGCCAGAAAUAUUUUAAUGAGGCUAGAUUUAGAGUUUCAUAUUUUUCUGACACCCGUAGAGUGAGAACUAAAAUCCGACAGUUAUCUGAUAAAGAUUACAGUUCGGUACAGCUUUCGGUGACCAAACGGGGUCGAAACUGAAAGAUUAAAAUUUCUUUCGUUAAGUUAAGCAAAACCGAAUAUGACUGUCAAAUUUGAGCUCAAACGGAUAUUCAGGGAGUUCCGGCGAAAGAUAUCAGAUUUGGAGCUGCCUGAUGUGAAUAGUGUAUGCUACUAUUGAGGGUUGACUAUAAGUAGAAGCUUCUAGUGACUUGGCUUCUUCUUCACAGCCAAGCACCACCCCCACAAGAGCACGUUCAUGGUGUAGUGAGAGAAACCCUCUCUUUCUCUCUCUAAAUAUCUCUCUCAUCUCUCUAGAUCUUUCGCCCAAAUUCGCGGCGUUGGUGGAGAUCGAGCUUGCGAACGCGUUGGGAGCGACGGAUCGAGUUUUCGUGCGCCCGUUGGAUUGGCGUGCUUUCGUCUCGGCGUUCAUAUUUUGGUAAGCUAUCGGGAUUUGGCUUAAUCCUUAAGUUUAAGUGUUCUAAUAGCCUCUAAUGUGAAGUUAGCUUGUUAAAUCCUUAAUAUUUGGAUUGUUUGGAGCAUAUGUUGAGGCUAAGGUGUGAAAAUGGGGGUUUACAAAUUAGGUGGGGUUUGAUCUAAUUUGACCCUUCGUAAACCUAAUUGCUAGGUAAACGAACGCGUUGGUGAAGUCGGUUCGGCGAUUCGUCGAGCCUACGCGAAGUUAUUAAAGAAACAGACGUUUAGGCUUCGUUUCCGCCUGGAGGGCCGAGGCGACGUCGUAAAAUCAUGAAAAUGGAUUUGAAGCAUCGUGGCACAUAACCGAAGACCUUUAAUUUUCGGAUCGUGAAUUGGAGGCCGUUCGGGUGGUCGCGCGAGAGAUCGGGCCAAACCGGGUGCCGGGUGCCGCGGGAGGCCGAUUGCAAGUGUCGACAAGCAAUCGGAAUGCGAUAAAAGGUGGGGGGUGUCAUCCCGAAGCAACUGAGCUUCCUUUUAUGUCUAAGUUCUAUAUCUUGAUCAUAUUCCUAUAUGUUGAUAUAUUGUGCAUUAUAGGAUUAGUAGAUGAUUACAUUUCCAUUCCUUGCAUGUUACCUAGGUUGUGUAGCAUUGUGGGCUUGACACUUGAUCUUAGGUUGCAUGAGGAUUGGGUCUUGUGACAAGAAUCCUAUAGUGACAAGAAUGAUGAUGAACUUGGACAUGUAAUUGGCCUAGACGAGUGGCAUUUGGACUAGUGUAACAAAGACACUAUAAUAUUGACGAGUGGCAUGUCGAUUUAGUGUAUUAAGACACAUAUAACAUCAUGACAUAAACGAGUGGCAUCAAAUCUAGUGUAGUGAAACACUAUGGCAUUUGAACCUAGGGAUAGUAGAUUUUCCCGAUUGUCAUGUUGUAGACAUUAUGCAUUUGGCAUUAGUGCAUUUGAGGCAUUGAUUAUGCAUUUGGUAUUGUGCAGCAGAGGCACAUUGACCCUGGUAGAUAGGGUAUCCUCUUGUGAGGAUUGGAUCAUACUCACUAGUCUGUUUUUGCUUGUCGGUGGUCGCUCCACCGAAGCACGAGUCUCCGGAGUACUUCACUAGGGGCAGACGUAGUUGUCCCGCAGACGGUCUCGGUGUGCGAGUGCAGAUUCUCCUCACCUAUGAGAUUGAGAGUGAGUCGGGGUUGACCCCGGGGUGGCAACCUUCAGGUUAGCCAUGAGAUUGGAUACUAUCGAGGCAUAGUUGCACGACGCACUAUGUAGUAGCUCGUUCAUUCGGAUUAUUGAGGCAUAGUAGCAUGUGCAGAUACAUCACUAUGUAGUAGCUCAUUUCCAAGCAGAUUGGGUAAAGAAUAUGAAUGGCAUAGCAGAUUUGCAUUCAUACCUUGAGUUGACAUUGAGACAUAGUAGCAUGUUGUAGAUACAUCACUAUGUAGUAGCUCAUUUCCAUUAUUGUUGAAGCAUAGUAUCAUGAUUAGUAGAAUAUCAUUGCUAUGUUCAUGCAUUCCAUGAUUACAGAGGCAUAGUAGCAUGUGUAUAUUCCAUUACUAUGUAGCAGCUCGUACUUAGUAGAGCGAGAUUGAGUCGGGCGAGGAGCGGGGUAGCUCUUUGCCUAGGACCUUCGAGAUUGAGUCGGGCAAGGAGCGGGGUAGCUCUUUGUCUAGGACCUUUGAGAUUUGAGAUCUUAGGCAAGUUGGCCUAGUCGAUUGGGUUGUAACAUGAAUAGCAUAAGUGGAUUGCAUUCAUGCCAUGAUUGGACAUAGUAGACUGCAUA